GGUUCAAAAUAUUAACCUUAAGGAAGGCUAACCAUAUCAUUCAGUUUUAUAAAUUUGUCAAAUGGCAUGCAAGUUGGUUAUCAACAUUGAAAGGUUAAAUUUGAACGUAACCGAAGUUUAUCAAAUAACGCGACCAGCGGGCAAAUGUCGCUCAUUCCGUUGGCCCUGGCAGUGAUAAUAAUUCCGGUGACAAUCCAGGGCGGACCAAGACCCUGCCUCGAUAACACUAGAUACGUCGAAAUCCCAGGAAUCGCGAAGGGAGCGAAGAAGGGGCGAUGUGAGCAAUGCCCGGCGUGCGACGGGGGUGGGUUCGUCCUGAACAAGACACUCCCCAGGGAAUACAACGCGCGGUACGGAUUCCUGUCUUGUCAUCCCUGUGAGCCGUGUUCACCACGCUACUUCCGGGAGUCACACUCAUUUCCGGUUUGCAACCUGUGCUCCAAAAACUGUUCAGCGGUUAAUCGGUAUGAGUCUCAGCCGUGCGGCGGAUCUUCUCCAGGUCAUUGCGGGGAAUGCUUUCCCGGAUUUAAAGCAAUCUCAAGUUCUGCAGAAGUUAUGUGCGUCGAAAGACCGGAACUACCAAAACCAGACUUGAAAGAUGUCUCAGGGGCAGCGAAUAUGCCGGAAGUUUCUUUUGCUUCCGGGAGUUUGCAUGUCAAUGUCAGCGCAAACGCGCGUAUUGAUGCCAAUGCUAUUAUAGGUAUAAUUGGAAGUGUCCUAUUAGCAAUCAUGGCUGGAGGUGUUAUCAUCUGGUGCAAGCGUCGAAAACAUACGAAAACAUCCAGGCGCCCAACAAAAGUUUACCAAAUAAAGCGACCAGAGGGCAAAUGUCGCUCAUUCCGUUGGCCCUGGCAGUGAUAAUAAUUCCGGUGACAAUCCAGGUCGGACCAAGACCCUGCCUCGAUAACACUAGAUACGUCGAAAUCCCAGGAAUCGCGAAGGGAGCGAAGAAGGGGCGAUGUGAGCAAUGCCCGACGUGCGACGGGGUGGGUUCGUGUUGAACAAGACACUCCCCAGGGCAUACAACGCGCGGUACGGAUUCCUGUCUUGUCAUCCCUGUGAGCCGUGUUCACCACGCUACUUCCGGGAGUCACACUCAUUUCCGGUUUGCAACCUGUGCUUCAAAAACUGUUCAGCGGUUAAUCGGUACGAGUCUCAGCCGUGCGGCGGAUCUUCUCCAGGUCACUGCGGGGAAUGCUUGCCCGGCAAUCAUGGCAGCAAGUGUUCUCAUCUGGUGCAAGUGUCGAAAACACACGAAAACAUCCAGGCGCCCACCAACAGCCACUGCAGGAGCAAAUAUUGGUGCAAGUGCUGCUCGUCUGAUUCGCAGUGAUACUUCACUGGAAGGCGCUGUCGAAACGGAUGGAAUUGAAAAUGAAAACGUCAGAGGGGAAUUACAACAAGUGACGUUUAUCGACACACACCCAGGCCUAACCCACGGACGUUCUCCACUGGAAAAAUAACUUCCCAAACGUUAAAUUUGACAAAAACGAUAGAUUUACGAUAGAUUGUUUUAUGUGCCUGGCUAAAUAGAUCACUUCAAAUGAACGAAACGUCUUCUUUCACAUUCUUGGUCUCGAGGAAAGCGAUUAUUUGCCUGGGGAAGAACUCUGGAAAAUAAACUCGGCUAAUCAUCCACACACCAACUUUGUGUACGACGUAACUAUCCACACGCCGAUUCGCCAACACUUUGCGAAGCUCUCAUCAAAGCUGACUGUGAUAAUAUCGUUAAAGAGCUAGGUAAAAUUGUGACAAAUCAUGUUCACCACACACAACCAAAACAGGUUUCUUGACCUUGGUAGGUUUGUUCUGUUCAUGCAGUCUUUCUGAAUGUCAUCCAACUCGAUAUGAACAUGUUUGCGAAAGAUCUACACUAGAAGCAUUAUAUCUUAAUCAAAAAUGCGUUUUCGUGUGGUAUAAACAUUGGUUUUAUAUAUACGUACACAAAUGACACGUUGUUAAUUAUGUGUUUCAAAAUGUUUUCUGAAAUAUAGCACAGUCGGUGUUGAGUUUUCAGUGAGAAAAUUAUUAGAAAGUUAUGUGAGUUUCAUACAAAGAUUCGCAUUGAUGUACAUGUUUAUGUGCUUCGUUUUGUAUCCACCUUUUGUAUAAACCGUUUCUAUAAUCGUUUGUAUAAGUAACUGCUGGUUUGCUUUUAUUGUAUGUUGAAAUCCUUUAAGCACACAGCGGUACAGGUUUAACAAUUUUAGUUAGUAUCUGUCAGUGUCCGUCGUUGUUGACUCAUCACUCAUCAUUAAUAUACUUCAAAACAGUCGGAUUAUUAAUUGUUAAAUAAAGACUAACCAAGUUCACAUUCUAUGGAUACUUCUUGCAUGGAACAAGCACGCGUUUCAUUUGUUUAAACAGUCCCUUUUGUGAAUGGCCUUUCUGCUAAAGUAAGUUGUCUACAUAUGUUUGAACCCUUAAAAAUGCUCUUUUCAGUUUAGACCGGAAUUUGUGUUAAGUUUGAUAAUGCCUUUAUUGAUUUUUAACUAGAAAUGGCGCGGCAGAGGCCGACGCGUAUCCCCACGCCGAAUGUUUGACCCAGGGGCGCCCCAUGGUUGGUAAUGGGUCCAUGCAUAGUUGAGAUUGACCGUAUUGUCAUAAGAAAAGUUCAGUAUCAACUAGAAGUGAAUCGGUGUAGAAAUGAAGAAAUUAUAGUAUAAGACAAUUUUGGGUGGGUGUGGCCUAUUAUGGGCGGGGCGCCCCAGGGUUGGUAAAGGGGCCAUACAUAGUUGAGAUUGACCGCAUUGUCAUAAGAGAUGUUCAGUAUCAAUUUGAAGUAAAUCGGUGUAGAAAUGAAGUAAUCAUAGUAAAAGGCAAUUUUGGGUGGGCGUGGCCUAUGUUGGCGGGGCGCCCCAGGGUUGAUAAUGGCGCCAUGCAUAGUUGAGAUUGACCGUAUUGUCAUAAGAGAGGUUCAGUAUCAAUUUGAAGUGAAUCGGUGUAGAAAUGAAGAUAUUAUAGUAAAAGGCAAUUUUGGGUGGGCGUGGCCUAUGUGGGCGGGGCGCCCCAGGGUUGGUAAUUGGGCCAUGCAUAGUUGAGAUUAACUGUAUUGUCAUAAGAGAGGUUCAGUAUUAAUUUGAAGUGAAUCGGUGUACAAAUAAAGAAAUUAUAGUAAAAGGCAAUUUUGGGUGGGCGUGGCCUAUGUGGGUGUGGCCUAUUAUGGGCGGGGCGCCCCAGGGUUGGUAAUUGGGCCAUAAAUAGUUGAGAUUGACCGUAUUGUCAUAAGAGAAGUUCAGUAUCAAUUUUAAGUGAAUCGGUGUAGAAAUGAAGAAAUUAUAGUAAAAGACAAUUUUGGGUGGGUGUGGCCUAUUAUGGACGGGGCGCCCCAGGGUUGGUUAUGGGGCCUUUCAUGGUUGAGAUUGACCGUAUUGUCAUAAGAGAUGUUCAGUAUCAAUUUGAAGUAAAUCGGUGUAGAAAUGAAGAAAUUAUAGUAAAAGGCAAUUUUGGGUGGGCGUGGCCUAUGUUGGCGGGGCGCCCCAGGGUUGAUAAUGGCGCCAUGCAUAGUUGAGAUUGACCGUAUUGUCAUAAAAGAGAUUUAGUAUCAGUUUGAAGUGAAUCGGUGUAGAAAUGAAGAUAUCAAAGUAAAAGGCAAUUUUUGGUGGGCGUGGCCUAUGAUGGCGGGGCGCCCCAGGGUUGGUAAUGGGGCCAUGCAUAGUUGAGAUUAACUGUAUUGUCAUAAGAGAGGUUCAUUACUUUGGAGUGAAUCGGUGUAGAAAUGAAGAAAUUAUAGUAAAAGGCAAUUGUGGGUGUGCGUGGCCUAUGUGGGCAGGCCUAUGUGGGCGGGGCGCUCCAGGGUUGGUAAUGGGGCCAUGCAUAGCUGAGAUUGACCGUAUUAUCAUAAGAGAGGUUCAGUAUCAAUUUGAAGUGAAUCGGUUUAGAAAUGAAGAAAUUAUAGUAAAUGGCAAUUUUUGGUGGGCGUGGCCUAUGUGGGCGGGAUGCCCUAGGGUUGGUAAUGGGGCCAUGCAUAGCUGAGAUUGACCGUAUUGUCAUAAGAGAGGUUCAGUAUCAAUUUGAAGUGAAUCGGUGUAGAAAUGAAGAAAUUAUAGUAAAAGGCAAUUUUGGGUGGGCGUGGCCUAUAUGGCCGGGGCGCCCCAGGGUUGGUAAUGGGGCCAUGCAUAGUUGAGAUUGACCUUAUUGUCAUAAGAGAUACUCAAUAUCAAUUUGAAGUAAAUCGGUGCAGAAAUGAAGAAGUUAAUGUAAAAUAACAUACAAAAUGAGUGAAAAUCUCUGACCCCGCCCCGCCGCAACCCCCAUAACUUUUGACCCAGGGGUCAGAUAAAAAUUCCGUCACUGUCACCGUCGCACAUAUGCUCAUAGCUACCAUGUUUGUUAGUUUCAAGGUUCUAGUGCUAAUAGUGUAGGAGGAGCAGGUGGCCAGGACGGACGGACGGACGGACGGACAGACGCACAUCAAUACAAUAUCCCCACUUUUUCUCCGAAAAACGUGGGGAUAAAUAUGUCCAGUCCUUUUUAUAGGAUACAUUUACAUCUGUGAGACGACUCUGGGGAACUUUAACCCACUUAUGUAUUAUACCGCAUGUGCAAUCUAUCUCUUAUAUAUUGCUCAGCUUUGCUCAUGCUCCUUUUUCAUAUUUAAUUUAGAUAUCUGUCAAACAUUUUUUUGGAAAUUCUUUUCUUUUAUCAACCCUCUGACUUUUUCUAGUAGAUGUACGAUUAUAAUUCCUUUUGAACCAUUUUCUGAACGGAAGAUUUUUUAAAUAUAAAACCGUCAUUUUCUGUAUAAACUUACAUUUUUUGCGGUUAUAGUUUUGAUAUGCUCGAGUCUUUGAGUUCACAGCAUUAUUAUCAUUUGUCUGAGGAUUUUUGUCUAAAAUGGAUUGUGCCAAGAAAAACUUCGCUUUUUCCGAUAACGGUUGAUAGUAAAUGUGUAAAAACAGGUAUUCCAUUUCAAUAUUAUAGCCUUUAGGCUAAACGAUAAUGAUAAAGAACCAUUUGAAAACACACGUCGAUUAAAACUUCAAAAAAAAAAUUGACACUAGACAAACUUGCAACUGCUUACAUGUUAAGAAAGUAAAAUAACUUAUAGUAUUUUAGAAUUCUUGUAAUAUUAACAUCUUAAUUUUCAAACGUCAAUUGUUAUUCGUUCUAUCCGCAUGCUAUUCAGCGAUACUCAUGUAUUUUUGUUAAAUUUGUAUAUUUGAUAUAAAGUUAUAAAAACAAGUUGAAAUAGAUAGAUCUAACAAA